GACGAACGCUGGCGGCGUGCCUAAUACAUGCAAGUAGAACGCACAGUUUAUACCGUAGCUUGCUCCACCAUAGACUGUGAGUUGCGAACGGGUGAGUAACGCGUAGGUAACCUGCCUGGUAGCGGGGGAUAACUAUUGGAAACGAUAGCUAAUACCGCAUAAUAUUAAUUAUUGCAUGAUAAUUAAUUGAAAGGUGCAAUUGCACCACUACCAGAUGGACCUGCGUUGUAUUAGCUAGUAGGUGAGGUAACGGCUCACCUAGGCGACGAUACAUAGCCGACCUGGGAGGGUGAUCGGCCACACUGGGACUGAGACACGGCCCAGACUCCUACGGGAGGCAGCAGUAGGGAAUCUUCGGCAAUGGACGAAAGUCUGACCGAGCAACGCCGCGUGAGUGAAGAAGGUUUUCGGAUCGUAAAGCUCUGUUGUAAGAGAAGAACGGGUGUGAGAGUGGAAAGUUCACACUGUGACGGUAUCUUACCAGAAAGGGACGGCUAACUACGUG
rnacentral:rRNA from 1 species